rnacentral:snRNA from 1 species
GUACUCGCUUUGGCAGCCCAUAUACUAAAAUUGAAAUGAUACAGAGAAGAUUUGCGUGGCCCCUGCACAAGGAUGACAUGGAAAUUCAUGAAGCGUUACAUAAUUUU